GCUAUUGUAAUAUUAUCCAUUCCUUUAACCGUGUUUGUAAAUUAGAAACCGCUUUGCUACAAUGUUUCUUGCGAGCCUUCAUAGAGCUCGACACAAUUUAGAACCGCAUGCGCGUUCUGAAAACAGUUCAUUCUGAAAAUCAAGCUGCGGAUCCUGUUCUCCCCUGGGGCGGGUAUUUCUACAGUUCAGAUGCGGGCAGUAGCUCUGCGGAUAGUUUUGGGAUUAUUUGCUACGCCUAGAAAAAGGCAACGUUUAACAUGCUUGGAGGACUGACGAGGUGCCACUCUAGCAACGGGAAAAAUAAAUGUCUGUGGUAUUUCCGGUAGACCUUUCGCUGUCAACAUUGACAAGCAAAGGAACAAGGAAGUUAAAAAGUCGAGGUUUUUACAAGCGAUAGUUUAUCAAUUACUGAGCAGUCACCAGUCUAUACUAGAAGCGGUGUACAGGGAUAUGUCGCGAGGGUGUCAUCCUUAAUUAGUACAAGAAAUCGAGAUAUUUUUAAAGCGAUUACUCGCUACUGACAAUAAACUCCUCACCAUGAGCGAACCGAGCCGUAGAAUGUGUAAAAUAGUUCUUCGGAUUUUUAGCCAGUUGUUUUGGCUUGCUGCUCUAGUGAUAGCCCUAAGUGGUAUUUUCCUCCUGAUUAAUUUCAAGCACUGCCGACUGUUCUUCAAGGACGAAUCCAUCAUCCUUCCAGCACUCCUGGCUGUCGUGGCAGCCUUGUUUCUUCUUGCUGCUGGUAUUGCUGGCUGCUGUGCGUCACAGAAAGAAUCGCCAUGUCUUCAGGGCAUUUUUGUGUAUUUUCUCAUCAUCGUGUUUUGCUUGGAAGCCACUGCAGCAGCUUUAUCUUAUAUCAACGUUGAAAAGAUGGGAUCAGAGCUGGCUCCGUUUGAGAGGGUCUUUCACCAGUACAACGACAGCAGCAAGGACCCUGACACACAGGCUGUGGAUUUCUUACAAAAAGAGCUCCAUUGCUGCGGAGUGCAUGGCUUCCAGGACUGGCAGACAAGCCCAUGGUUUAAUGAGAGCGGGCACACCAGGGUACCACUCAGCUGCUGCAACUCGACCUUCACCAACUGCACCGGAAGUGUUGACCAGCCGGAACUUCUCUUUACAAAGGGCUGCCAGGGGAAGCUGGAAGAUGUUCUGUCGUUCAUUCUGCAUUUAAUACUCUGGUCUUCGGUGGGUGCAGCUGGGAUUCAGGAAAAUACCCAUCAGAUCGCAAUUGAUUGCACCUGUACCGAAAUCUGACAGCUUCUAUCAAAGUGAAAAACAACAUCCACAAACUUGAACUUGAAACUUAUCUAUAAACUUCAGGUUGUGGGGCUCGUCAGUGUGUCUUUACUAAUGAAAGAAUCCCCGCUGCAAGAAUAUCGAAUCUUAGACAGAGAUCCCUUUUCCUAAAUCAUGGUGAACGCAGAGACAGCAUCGUCCUUCAUCCCUUCAAACACAAUGGCGAUGUGUAUCAUGAGGAAGUGAUGUAAAUGUGUUUAAAAUAAGUUUCAAAUUACUGUAUAUUAUUGGGCUUUCAUCAUGCUACAACCCACUGAUUCCUGCUGGCUUGUGUGGUUUGUCUUUAUGCAGGAUAUAAAACAGGAAUUAGGGUCUGCUGCUCGUAUAUUUUAAGCAGGGACAUGCUGCUGACCUACCUGUGAGGUUAAGUUCAUUCCUUAAAGACUUGGUUCUCAAAUUCUCAAAUAUAACUGUUGAUUUUAAAUGUGUAUGUCCUUCCAGUACUACUCAUAAAAGACAAUACUCAAAGCUUCUAAGACUUUAUUCUUGUGAUAACCAGGAAUUUAAAGUGUUCAGGACCCCCUGCAGUGUUUACAAGAAACACAGUACUUUACCACUGCUGUAUCUCGUGUUGUCAUCAUAAUAAUGAUUGUUCCGAUAUAUAAUCAUUCACACGUCACAGGUGAAUAAACUAGGGAGUUAGUUUUUCAACUUUUACUCGGUCGCCAGGAGAAAGCGCAGUGUAUCCAGUUCAUGCUCCCUCCUGCAACAAUGAGCUGAUUGAAAUGAGUGUGUAUUGUGGGAACAGAAAACCAGCAUUGUUGCAGGAGGGAGCGUAAUCUGGGUACACUGCGAUCCUUAGAAGACAUUUGUUUUUCUCCUGGCGAAUGCUCCCACGUGAAUGUUGAAGUGUAUUGGCCAUUUGAUUUAUGUGUGAUUAAGAGUGGGCAAUAUGUUUAAAAAAUAUAACCCUGCGAUACGGACAGCACGUAACGUCUUGUAAACUUGCAGGGUGUUCUGCAACGCUUAAAAAAAAAAAAAAAAAAAAAAAAAAGGCGAGGAUAUAACAGGAACCUAAUGUUUGUUAUUAGUAUCUAUAUUUAUUGCUGUUUUUCCUUUUUUCAAGAACCCUUUUAUAGUUUGUAAUGCUUGAACAGUUCUUCCGUGUAAAUUUCUUUCACAUGUUGUCGUUUGUUGCCAUGCAUACUAAUUGUUCCAGCUUCUGAUUGUGGCAGAGUGGGGUGAGGAAAAUAUUUUUCUUAUCUUUUGGGGACAAAAAGACUAAACCCACUAGGACCCUGUUCACAUCACUGGGCCGGCCCAGUUAGACCUGCAACCCCGUUCACAUUUGCAUUUUUAAGGUGCCUUUGCACGUUCACAUAUGUAACUGAAAAGCAAGCCUAAAAUGUGGCAAACUGAUUUUUUGUUUUAUUUUUAUGGAAGGCUAGACUGCACAGAAUGGAAGUUACCUGAUAUACAGUAAUCCUUUUGUAGCAGAUGUUUCUUAUUAAUAUUUUUUUCAGUGCAUCACAGUAACAAUUUUAUGGUAUAUAUUAAAAAAAAAAACUAUUGACUAUUUUGACGGUGACGGUCCGAGCUUACCCCCAUCCACAAUCACAUUAUUCUCUUAAGAACACAGAGGUAUUUAGAAUACGGGAAACGGCAACUUGAUAGUGUUGACAGAUAUAAAUAUUUAUUUUCAUAACGGAUACUUCACUGAGAUUGCAAAGGUUGUACACAGUGACUGACAUUCACAAGACAAACUCACUGACCACCUAAUAGUACUACUGCUCCCUCCUUAGGAAAGACACGGCAUUAAAUAAUGUUAAAUACAUUACACGUGUUUCUUCUCAUGUAUACGUAUUUGUUUAAUCUGCAUGAAUACCGUCUCUGUUUCCAAACGCGAUUGUUAAACUAUUCUGUUGUUUACUCGUUAUUAUUAUUCUCUAGUCCCUAACCAUUACCAGUAAAGACUGAUCAUUAGCAUUACCCCUUCUCUUGGAAGACUGUCAAACAUAUGGCUUAACAAAACCCUUGUCCCACAAAUGACAACUUCAUUAAGGGAAUCGCCCUAAUCUAAAUACAGCAAUACGCCGUCACAUAUUGAAUACACAUUGCUCAACAACAUGCACAAUACAUAGUAAUAGUGCAUCAACAAUCUUAAUAUUUGUGGAUGAGAACAGUAUUUUGUGUGUGUAAAUGCAAGCAGCUAAAAUAAAUGAUCUGCAUUUGAAUGUAAAGAUGCACUCUUCUGCUGUGUAUAUUGUUGCAUGCAAAAUAAACAAUGGUGGCUGAAUAUGCCAAGUCACCAGCAUUAUUGAUCAUUAUUGAGAUCCACAAUCCUGCAGUUUUUAUAUUUAUCGCUUAUUUACUAAAUAACAGGAAAUGUAAUUGUGACAAAUUAAGCAUAAUUAUGAAUGCACUGCAGCUCGUAUAUUGUGAAAGAAACAACCUGAACGUUAACCUGCUAGAUUUGUAUUGAUUUAAUAUUUAUAUAAUUAAAGUUGUAUGAUGUAGAAAUAAUUACCCUUCAAUACUGAUCCUCUGCCGUCUUGCCUAGCACAGCAUUCUGUUUACCUUACCUUUUCUUUUUUGGAGCGUUCACAUAUGAGGCCCUAGGCCGCCUCAGAUCGCAAGGCCUAGGUUUUUAUUCCAUAAUAUAUAUUUUUUUUGUUCCAUAAAUCAGACACCGCAGGUAAUUUAUGCUGAUUUGGAUGUUCUCUGUUAAAUCGGGCUGCCACACCCCAUCAAUCUAAAUUCACACCUGAAACAAACAGACACACAACCAAUAUUAACAAGUAUGUCUGUGAUGCCUGUCUUAUGGGAACUCCUGCGUAAAUGUAUCAAGUUUGUAAGUGGAACUUGUCUGCAGUUAUGAUAUUUGUUUCACUGUGUACAAAAUUCACAAACGGUGACACUCUGGGAUUAUUUUUUACAAUCUGCAAUAAGAUACCAAAAUUAUAAUUAGAGCAAUAGAAACUUUCACACAUACCCAUGGUAUUGUGACAAGAAUAUAUCCAUAACUGUAAAUCACUCAAUAGUGAUAAAUGUAUAAAUACUAAAAUAAUGAUUUUUUGUGAAAAAGGCAACUAAUUUAAAAGUUUGUCUAGAAUGUAAGUUUUUUUUUUUUUUUUUUUAAAUAUGUACUUCCACACUCCACAACUCUGGUUUAAGCUUUACUAGAUAUUUUCUCUUUACUUUUUGUCUUUACUUUUAGAUGCUGCAUCCAAAUUUCCUUUAUUAAUGUGUUUUUUUUUUUUGUGUGUGUUUUGUUUUUUUACAAAUAUUUUCUCUACCUCAUUGAUCUUAAUAAAUCAUCUGAAUAUUC